rnacentral:lncRNA from 1 species
UCAAAGGACAUCCACAUCUGUCGGAAGACUUAAAAUUACAGGUGAGAUAAGACACAAGCGGCAUUGGAUUGAGAAUCAGCAAGGACCAGCAAUUUCUCAGAAAACACAACC